GACGAACGCUGGCGGCGUGCUUAACACAUGCAAGUCGAACGGAAAGGCCCUGCUUUUGUGGGGUGCUCGAGUGGCGAACGGGUGAGUAACACGUGAGUAACCUGCCCUUGACUUUGGGAUAACUUCAGGAAACUGGGGCUAAUACCGGAUAGGAGCUCCUGCUGCAUGGUGGGGGUUGGAAAGUUUCGGCGGUUGGGGAUGGACUCGCGGCUUAUCAGCUUGUUGGUGGGGUAGUGGCUUACCAAGGCUUUGACGGGUAGCCGGCCUGAGAGGGUGACCGGCCACAUUGGGACUGAGAUACGGCCCAGACUCCUACGGGAGGCAGCAGUGGGGAAUAUUGCACAAUGGGCGGAAGCCUGAUGCAGCAACGCCGCGUGCGGGAUGACGGCCUUCGGGUUGUAAACCGCUUUCACCUGUGACGAAGCGUGAGUGACGGUAAUGGGUAAAGAAGCACCGGCGAACUACGU
rnacentral:rRNA from 1 species